UACGGAGGGCGCAAGCGUUGUUCGGAAUCACUGGGCGUAAAGCGCGUGUAGGCGGCUUUGCAAGUCGGGUGUGAAAUCCCGAGGCUCAACCUCGGAACUGCACUCGAUACUGCUUGGCUCGAGUCCCGGAGAGGGUGGCGGAAUUCCCGGUGUAGGGGUGAAAUCCGUAGAUAUCGGGAGGAACAUCAGUGCCGAAGGCGGCCACCUGGUCGGUGACUGACGCUGAGACGCGAAAGCGUGGGGAGCAAACAGG
rnacentral:rRNA from 1 species